rnacentral:misc_RNA from 1 species
AAUUCUCAACCUUUCAAGCUUUGUUAAAAGGCUAGUCAGGCUUGGAUCUUGGGAGUUUGCUGGUUCUCGCAGUCCAGCUCUCCUUAAAUGCAUUAGCAAGAUUAAUCGCUGAACUAUCGUUGAUAUGAUAAUUAUCUAUAUCAUUGAUUAAGCAGUGUUUUCCUCAAAGGAAAGAUCUGGCUUUCUAACUGUCCUUUGGGACAAUUCAAAGAAUC